rnacentral:rRNA from 1 species
UGAUAUAAUAUUACAUUUUUAUCCGCCAGGGAAUUACGAGCACUAGCUUAAAACCCAAAGGACUUGGCGGUGCUUCAAACCCACCUAGAGGAGCCUGUUCUAGAACCGAUAAUCCCCGUUAAACCUCACCCCUCCUUGUUUAAUCCGCUUGUAUACCGCCGUCGUCAGCUUACCUUUUAAAGGAAUAAUAGUAAGCAAAAUUGGUACAACCUAAAACGUCAGGUCAAGGUGUAGCAUAUGGAAGGGAAAGAAAUGGGCUACAUUCAUCCACUGAUGAACACGAAUUAAUUAUUGAAAAAUAACUAUGAAGGAGGAUUUAGCAGUAAGAAAAAAAUAGAGAGUUC